UUAUGACCAUAUCAUGUGGAAACACCAGUUCCCGUAUGAUCACUAAAAUUAAAUAACUUCAAGCCUGGUCAGUACCUAGAUGAGUGACCCUUGGGAAAACGAGGUGCUGUAAG